rnacentral:rRNA from 1 species
ACGGAAGGCAGCAGUGAGGAAUAUUGGUCAAUGGAGGCAACUCUGAACCAGCCAUCUCGCGUGAAGGAAUACGGCCCUACGGGUCUUAAACUUCUUUUAUAGGGGGAUAAAGUGAGAUACGCGUAUCUUUUUGUAGGUACCCUAUGAAUAAGCAUCGGCUAACUCCGUGCCAGCAGCCGCGGUAAUACGGAGGAUGCGAGCGUUAUCCGGAUUUAUUGGGUUUAAAGGGUGCGCAGGCGGCACGUUAAGUCAGCGGUGAAAUGCAGGGGCUCAACCCCGGCACUGCCGUUGAAACUGGCGAGCUCGAGUACGGAUGAAGUCGGCGGAAUGUGAUGUGUAGCGGUGAAAUGCUUAGAUAUGUCACAGAACCCCGAUUGCGAAGGCAGCUUACCAGCAUACAACUGACGCUGAGGCACGAAAGCGUGGGUAUCAAACAGGAUUAGAUACCCUGGUA